rnacentral:tRNA from 1 species
GGAGGGGUGCUAGAGCGGUUGAAUAGGACGGUCUCGAAAACCGUUGUGCGCGCAAGCGUACCGUGGGUUCGAAUCCCACCCCCUCCGCCA